AGCUUUGCGCAGUGGCAGCAUCGUAGCCAAUGAGGUUUAUCCGAGGCGCGAUUAUUGCUAGUUGAAAAAUGGUCUCACAUACCACGUACAUAUUAUAAGUAUUUGGAAAUCAUUAUGGUUAAUGA
ensembl:snRNA U4 U4 spliceosomal RNA